rnacentral:tRNA from 1 species
GUUCAUUUAGUUUAUUAAAAAUUUUAGUUUGUGAAUCUAAAGAAAAAUUUUUUAUUGGACA